GUAGGCUCUGUGGUGUCAGCACAGAGCCCGACAUGGGCUUGAAAUGGGUUGGUGAUCUCACCUGAGCUGAGAUCAAGAGUCAGACACUUAACCUAUUGAUCCACCCAGAUGCCCCUACUCAGAUUCAUCUUUAAUUGGUAGAAUGGGUAUUUAUCACCCUAUCUGUUCUCAGUGAGGAAAGAGUGAUCUAAAUCAGUCUGAGAUGCAUAUUCCUUUAUGCAUCCUCUUUCCAUAUUCCUUUAUGCAUCCUCUUUCCACCUCUUCUUGCUUUUCCUUUCUAUGAUUUAGAGAGUGAUUUCCUGGUACAGGUUUGAAGAAAUGGAAAAGUCCAGCCUUGGUUUAUCAGUAGAUUAGUCUCUUAUGGUUUUGCUUUUCACAGUUUCAGUUACCUGUGGUCAGCUGUGGUCCAGAGGUGAUGAUCUGAUGUAUUGUUAGGUCAGUAGUAGCCUAAUGCUACAUCACGAUGCUUACAUCAGUCACCUCAGUCAUCUCAUCAUGUAGGCAUUUUAUCAUCUCACAGCAUCACAAGAAGAAGUCCUCCAGCCCAAAGAUGACUUCACAUUUAGACAAUUCCAGACUAAGCACCUUAAAUAGGCCAUCUCUUGGGAUCUUCAUUAUAAUCCUACAAGGGGUGGGAGGGCUACAGAGACCUCCCAUCCAAAACGUAGUCUGAGUACCAUCUGCAUCAGAACCACUUGGGGGAAUUAUCAAGAAUGGAUAUUCUUGUGAAGGAGACAACCAACAAAACUAAAAGGCAGUCUACGGAAUGGGAGAAGAUAUUUGCCAGUGACACAUCUGAUAAAGGGUUAGUAUCCAAAAUCUAUAAAGAACUUAUCAAACUCAGCACCC